UACUAGCUGUCCAAGUCUCAGCCAUCUUUAUUGGGUCUAAAAUAUCCGUAGCUUGCCUACUAAGUUCCUUGUGAAAUCCUACAUCUCAAGUGUAGGACGGGCAAGGAGUACUGUUAGGCUAGAGACUGGAAGACGUAGGAAGUACGGUAGAAGUAGCGGUUAAAUGCGUUGAUCUUUAUCGGACUCACAACAGCGAAGGCAUCCUACGAGGACAGUUCUGACAGUAAGGGAUGAAAGCUAGGGGCGCAAAUUGG
rnacentral:rRNA from 1 species